GAUCAUAGCUCAGGAUGAACGCUAGCUACAGGCUUAACACAUGCAAGUCGAGGGGAAACGACAUUGAAAGCUUGCUUUUAAUGGGCGUCGACCGGCGCACGUGUGCGUAACGCGUAUCGAACCUGUCCCUUUACUCGAGGGAUAGCCUUGCGAAAGUAAGAUUAAUACCUGAUAGUGUUGCGAUGAGGCAUCUUGUUGCAAACUAAAGAUUUAUUAGGUAAAGGAUGGCGAUGCGU
rnacentral:rRNA from 1 species